UUUCCCUCAGGAUAGCUGGCGCUCUCGGGCACGAGGCUGCUGCAGUUUUAUCCGGUCAAGUGAAUGAUUAGAGGUCUUGGGGCCGAAACAAUCUCAACCUAUUCUCAAACUUUAAAUGGGUAGGAAGCCCGGCUCGCUGGCAUGGAGCCAGGCUUGGAAUGCCAUUAUAGCCU
rfam:Ophiophagus hannah scaffold2803.1, whole genome shotgun sequence.